CCUACGGGAGGCAGCAGUGGGGAAUAUUGCUCAAUGGUGGAAACCCUGAUGCAGCGACGCCGCGUGAGUGAAGAAGUAUUUCGGUAUGUAAAGCUCUAUCAGCAGGGAAGAAAAUGACGGUACCUGCUUAAGAAGCCCCGUCUAACUACGUGCCACAAGCCGCGGUAAUACGGCGGGGGCAAGGGUUAUCCGGAUUUACUGGGGGUAAAGGGAGCGUAGACGGCAGCACAAGUCUGGAGUGAAAUGCCCGGGGUUAACCCCGGAACUGCCGUUGAAACUGUGCAGCUAGAGUGCAGGAGAGGUAUGUGGAAUGCCUGGUGUAGCGGUGAAAUGCGUAGAUAUUAGGAGGAACGCCAGUGGCGAAGGCGGCUUACUGGACCGUAACUGACGUUGAGGCUCGAAAGCGUGGGGAGCAAACAGGAUUAGAUACCCCUGUAGUC
rnacentral:rRNA from 1 species